UAAGAUUGAAGGUACUUAGUAAACCCAACGCUGAAUGAGAAGGUAUGAUCUUCUCAAGAACCUUUCUCUUUUACAACAAGAACUCUCUAAGAAGAGUAGAUAAAGAGAUACAAUAUUAGCUCUAUGAACAACACAAAGUUGUCUCUCAAAUGGCUCAUCAAAAGCUCUAAAUAUGAUGUAGAAAUGUUAUCAAUAUGUUCA
rnacentral:lncRNA from 1 species